rnacentral:rRNA from 1 species
AUUGAACGCUGGCGGCAUGCCUUACACAUGCAAGUCGAACGGUAACGGGCCUUCGGGUGCCGACGAGUGGCGAACGGGUGAGUAAUACAUCGGAACGUGCCCGAUCGUGGGGGAUAACGAGGCGAAAGCUUUGCUAAUACCGCAUACGAUCUACGGAUGAAAGCAGGGGACCACAAGGCCUUGCGCGGACGGAGCGGCCGAUGGCAGAUUAGGUAGUUGGUGGGAUAAAAGCUUACCAAGCCGACGAUCUGUAGCUGGUCUGAGAGGAUGAUCAGCCACACUGGGACUGAGACACGGCCCAGACUCCUACGGGAGGCAGCAGUGGGGAAUUUUAGACAAUGGGCGCAAGCCUGAUCCAGCCAUGCCGCGUGCAGGAUGAAGGCCUUCGGGUUGUAAACUGCUUUUGUACGGAACGAAAAGCCUUCUUUUAAUACAGGAGGGUCAUGACGGUACCGUAAGAAUAAGCACCGGCUAACUACGUG